rnacentral:lncRNA from 1 species
AUUAGCACCUACUAAUAUGAAUAGGCACAGAGAAGAAAUGAAUAAUGGGUUUGGGGACUGAAUUAGACACAAAUUACUAGGAAUUUUUUGGACAGGAAAAAUACUUGAAAGGGCAAAUCCUACACCAGACUCAAGGAGGCUUCACCAGAUACCCCAGAACUUACUGAAAGCAGGAACAUUCUGUCCUGUGCACCUUUUCUUGCUGAGUGUUUUUGCAGAGGUGCAAGGCUUGCCACUCCAUCUUUUGGCAGGUGAUGCAUAACAUCAAGCUGUACAGUCUGGAGGGUGAAAGCCAAGUCUGAAGGAAGCUGUCAGCAUGGAGGGAUGUGCUGUGACUGUUGGCUCCAUGUCUGUCCCCAUGGACCUCAGACAGGCAGUGAGAAGUGUGUUUUCACUCCUGGCUCUUGACAUGGGGAUCAAGCUGCCCGUCCAUUUCCCCCAUGGGCACUGAUACCAGUCCCUAUGGACUUGGUGUGGAGCCAUGCUGACUUUACUGUGGGAGAUAGUGGUGACCCGAUGUGUCCUCAGCUUGUCACUCUUCAUGCUAACAGUACAGAGGAAAAGCAGCCAUCCCUGUGGCAGGAAUCAAUAGCCUAUUGGAGGUUAUGAAUAUCUAUAUGCCCUCUGCACAUUUUUUUCACAUAUGGAAAAAUAUCUAAAAUAUACAUAUUGACAUCACCAGGUGCAAGAAUGUUGAAUAGCUG